UACAGAGGGGGCAAGCGUUAUUCGGAAUUAUUGGGCGUAAAGGGCGCGUAGGCGGCUUGGCAAGUGGAUGGUGAAAUCCCUCGGCUUAACCGAGGAACUGCCAUCCAGACUGCUUUGCUUGAGGCCGGGUGAGGUGAGUGGAAUUCCCAGUGUGGCGGUGAAAUGCGUAGAUAUUGGGAGGAACACCAGUGGCGAAGGCGGCUCACUGGACCGGUUCUGACGCUGAGGCGCGAAAGCGUGGGGAGCAAACGGG
rnacentral:rRNA from 1 species